GACGAACGCUGGCGGCGUGCCUAAUACAUGCAAGUCGAGCGAAGUUUUUCUGGUGCUUGCACUAGAAAAACUUAGCGGCGAACGGGUGAGUAACACGUAAAGAACCUGCCUCAUAGACUGGGACAACUAUUGGAAACGAUAGCUAAUACCGGAUAACAGCAUUAACUGCAUGGUUGAUGUUUAAAAGUUGGUUUUGCUAACACUAUGAGAUGGCUUUGCGGUGCAUUAGCUAGUUGGUGGGGUAAAGGCCUACCAAGGCGACGAUGCAUAGCCGACCUGAGAGGGUGAUCGGCCACACUGGGACUGAGACACGGCCCAGACUCCUACGGGAGGCAGCAGUAGGGAAUCUUCCGCAAUGGGCGAAAGCCUGACGGAGCAACGCCGCGUGAGUGAAGAAGGAUUUCGGUUCGUAAAGCUCUGUUGUUAGGGAAGAAUGAUUGUGUAGUAACUAUACACAGUAGAGACGGUACCUAACCAGAAAGCCACGGCUAACUACGUGCCAGCAGCCGCGGUAAUACGUAGGGCGCAAGCGUUGUCCGGAAUUAUUGGGCGUAAAGAGCUCGUAGGCGGCUGGUCGCGUCUGUCGUGAAAACUUCCGGCUCAACCGGGGGCUUGCGGUGGGUACGGGCCGGCUAGAGUGCGGUAGGGGUAACUGGAACUCCUGGUGUAGCGGUGGAAUGCGCAGAUAUCAGGAAGAACACCGAUGGCGAAGGCAGGUUACUGGGCCGUUACUGACGCUGAGGAGCGAAAGCGUGGGGAGCGAACAGG
rnacentral:rRNA from 1 species